CGGGAUGUAGCGCAACUUGGAAGCGCACCUGGUUCGGGGCCAGGCGGUUGCACGUUCAAAUCGUGCCAUCCCGACCA
rnacentral:tRNA from 4 species